GAGCUAAUGCCGGAUGUGACUCUUGGGGAGCAUUCCUUGGGAUUCAAAGUUGGGGAUCGAAAGACCUGACGCUUUGCGAUAAGCCCGCGGCCUAUCAGCUAGUUGGUGAGGUAAAGGCUCACCAAGGCUAAGACGGGUAGCUGGUCUGAGAGGACGACCAGCCACACUGGAACUGAGACACGGUCCAGACACCUACGGGUGGCNGCAGUCGAGAAUUUUUCACAAUGGGGGAAACCCUGAUGGAGCGACGCCGCGUGGGGGAUGAAUGGCUUCGGCCCGUAAACCCCUGUCAUUUGCGAACAAUGCUUUGGUAUGAACAAUAUCAAAGUUGAUAGUAGCAGAAGAGGAAGAGACGGCUAACUCUGUGCCAGCAGCCGCGGUAAUACAGAGGUCUCAAGCGUUGUUCGGAUUCACUGGGCGUAAAGGGUGCGUAGGCGGUCAGGUAAGUCUAAAGUGAAAGCUCCGGGCUUAACCCGGAAAUGGCUUUGGAUACUAUCNCGGCUAGAGGGCCGGAGAGGGGACUGGAAUUCUCGGGUGUAGCAGUGAAAUGCGUAGAUAUCGAGAGGAACACCANUGGCGAAAGCGAGUCCC
rnacentral:rRNA from 1 species